GGGCCUAACACAUGCAAGUCGCACGAGAACGCUUCAGCUUGCUGAAGCUAGUAAAGUGGCGCACGGGUGAGUAACGCGUGGGUAAUCUACCUCCAAAUUGGGGAUAACAUUGCGAAAGCGAUGCUAAUACCGAAUGAUAUCUCAAAGACUUCGGUUUUUGAGAUCAAAGGUGGCCGCUCCAUGGAAGCUACUGUUAGGAGAUGAGCCCGCGUACCAUUAGCUUGUUGGUAGGGUAAAGGCCUACCAAGGCUACGAUGGUUAGCUGGUCUGAGAGGAUGAUCAGCCACACUGGAACUGACACACGGUCCAGACUCCUACGGGAGGCAGCAGUGAGGAAUUUUGCGCAAUGGGGGAAACCCUGACGCAGCAACGCCGCGUGAGUGAUGAAGGCUUUCGGGUCGUAAAGCUCUGUCAAGUGGGAAGAACCUGCCCUGUGCUAAUAUCACCGGGCACUGACGGUACCACUGAAGGAAGCACCGGCUAACUCCGUGCCAGCAGCCGCGGUAACACGGGGGGUGCAAGCGUUAUUCGGAAUCACUGGGCGUAAAGAGCGCGUAGGCGGUCUCUUAAGUCAGAUGUGAAAGCCCGGGGCUCAACCCCGGAAGUGCAUUUGAAACGAAGGGACUUGAGUAUGGGAGAGGGAAGUGGAAUUCCUGGUG
rnacentral:rRNA from 1 species